CGGACGGGUGAGUAACGCGUGAGGAACCUGCCUUGGAGAGGGGAAUAACACUCCGAAAGGAGUGCUAAUACCGCAUAAUGCAGUUGGGUCGCAUGGCUCUGACUGUCAAAGAUUUAUCGCUCUGAGAUGGCCUCGCGUCUGAUUAGCUAGUAGGCGGGGUAACGGCCCACCUAGGCGACGAUCAGUAGCCGGACUGAGAGGUUGACCGGCCACAUUGGGACUGAGACACGGCCCAGACUCCUACGGGAGGCAGCAGUGGGGAAUAUUGGGCAAUGGGCGCAAGCCUGACCCAGCAACGCCGCGUGAAGGAAGAAGGCUUUCGGGUUGUAAACUUCUUUUGUCGGGGACGAAACAAAUGACGGUACCUGACGAAUAAGCCAUGGCUAACUACGUGCCAGCAGCCGCGGUAAUACGUAGGUGGCAAGCGUUAUCCGGAUUUACUGGGUGUAAAGGGCGUGUAGGCGGGAUUGCAAGUCAGAUGUGAAAACUGGGGGCUCAACCUCCAGCCUGCAUUUGAAACUGUAGUUCUUGAGUGCUGGAGAGGCAAUCGGAAUUCCGUGUGUAGCGGUGAAAU
rnacentral:rRNA from 1 species